rnacentral:rRNA from 1 species
CCUACGGGUGGCUGCAGUGGGGAAUAUUGGACAAUGGGCGAAAGCCUGAUCCAGCCAUGCCGCGUGUGUGAAGAAGGCCUUCGGGUUGUAAAGCACUUUCAGUGGGGAAGAAAGCCUUGGGGCUAAUACCCUCGAGGAAGGACAUCACCCACAGAAGAAGCACCGGCUAACUCCGUGCCAGCAGCCGCGGUAAUACGGAGGGUGCGAGCGUUAAUCGGAAUUACUGGGCGUAAAGCGCGCGUAGGCGGUCUGAUAAGCCGGUUGUGAAAGCCCCGGACUCAACCUGGGAACGGCAUCCGGAACUGUCAGGCUAGAGUGCAGGAGAGGAAGGUAGAAUUCCCGGUGUAGCGGUGAAAUGCGUAGAGAUCGGGAGGAAUACCAGUGGCGAAGGCGGCCUUCUGGACUGACACUGACGCUGAGGUGCGAAAGCGUGGGUAGCAAACAGGAUUAGAUACCCCAGUAGUC